rnacentral:rRNA from 1 species
CGAACGCUGGCGGCGUGGAUAAGACAUGCAAGUCGAACGGGACUUUUUCUGGUAGCAAUACCGGAAAAAGUCUAGUGGCGAACGGGUGCGUAACACGUGGACAAUCUGCCUUAAAGUGGGGGAUAGCUCGGCGUAAGCCGAAUUAAUACCGCAUGUGAUGAGGGAAGACAUCUUUCCGAAUUCAAAGCCGGGGCAACCUGGCGCUUUUUGAGGAGUCCGCGGCCUAUCAGCUUGUUGGUGAGGUAACGGCUCACCAAGGCUAUGACGGGUAGCUGGUCUGAGAGGACGACCAGUCACACUGGAACUGAGACACGGUCCAGACACCUACGGGUGGCAGCAGUCGAGAAUUUUUCUCAAUGGGGGAAACCCUGAAGGAGCGACGCCGCGUGGAGGAUGAAGGUCUUCGGGUUGUAAACUCCUGUCAUUUGAGAACAAGGUGCACCGGUUAACUGCCGGAGUAUUGAUAGUAUCAGAAGAGGAAGGGACGGCUAACUCUGUGCCAGCAGCCGCGGUAAUACAGAGGUCCCAAGCGUUGUUCGGAUUCAUUGGGCGUAAAGGGUGUGUAGGUGGCGCCGUAAGUCGGGUGUGAAAUCUCGGGGCUUAACUCCGAAACUGCAUUCGAUACUGCGGUGCUUGAGGACUGGAGAGGAGACUGGAAUUCAUGGUGUAGCAGUGAAAUGCGUAGAGAUCAUGAGGAAGACCAGUGGCGAAGGCGGGUCUCUGGACA